GUCCUUUUGUGUUUUUUAAAAGGUCUGCCCUGCCCAGUGAUUAUUUUAACGGCCGCGGUAUUUUGACCGUGCAAAGGUAGCAUAAUCAUUAGUCUUUUAAUAGAAGGCUGGUAUGAAAGGGUUGACGAAAUAUUAACUGUCUCAUAAUUAAUUUAUUAAAAUUUAACUUUUCAGUUAAAAGGCUGAAAUUUUAUUGGAAGACGAGAAGACCCUAUAGAGCUUUAUAUAAUAUUUAAUACUUAUUUUGUUAAUAGUUUUAUUUUAUUUUUUUAUUUUAUUUUGUUGGGGUGACAAAAAUAUAUAAUUAACUAUUUUAUUUUUUUUUACAUUUAUUUAUGAAACAUAGAUCCAUUAUUAUUGAUUUUUAGAUUAAGUUACCUUAGGGAUAACAGCGUAAUCUUCUUUGGGAGUUCUUAUUUAUAAGAAGGCUUGCGACCUCGAUGUUGGAUUAAGAUAAUAGUUGGGUGUAGUCGCCUUGCUGAUAGGUCUGUUCGACCUUUAAAUUCUUACAUGAUCUGAGUUCAGACCGG
rnacentral:rRNA from 1 species